rnacentral:rRNA from 1 species
AGCGAACGCUGGCGGCAGGCUUAACACAUGCAAGUCGAACGGUCCUUCGGGAUAGUGGCGGACGGGUGAGUAACACGUGGGAACGUACCCUUAGGUUCGGAACAACACAGGGAAACUUGUGCUAAUACCGGAUAAGCCCUUCGGGGGAAAGAUUUAUCGCCUUUGGAGCGGCCCGCGUCUGAUCAGCUUGUUGGUGAGGUAAUGGCUCACCAAGGCUACGCUCAGUAGCUGGUCUGAGAGGAUGGCCAGCCACACUGGGACUGAGACACGGCCCAGACUCCUACGGGAGGCAGCAGUGGGGAAUCUUGCGCAAUGGGCGAAAGCCUGACGCAGCCAUGCCGCGUGGAUGAUGAAGGUCUUAGGAUUGUAAAACCCUUUCACCGGGGACGAUAAUGACGGUACCCGGAGAAGAAGCCCCGGCUAACUUCGUGCCAGCAGCCGCCGUAA